rnacentral:rRNA from 1 species
UGGGGAAUAUUGGGCAAUGGGCGAAAGCCUGACCCAGCAACGCCGCGUGAAGGAAGAAGGUUUUCGGAUUGUAAACUUCUGUCCUCAGGGAAGAAGAAAGUGACGGUACCUGAGGAGGAAGCCCCGGCUAACUACGUGCCAGCAGCCGCGGUAAUACGUAGGGGGCAAGCGUUGUCCUGAAUGACUGGGCGUAAAGGGCGCGUAGACGGCUGUCUAAGUCUGGGGUGAAAGUCCUGCUUUCAAGGCGGGAAUUGCUUUGGAGACUGGAUGGCUUGAGUGCGGAAUAGGUAAGUGGAAUUCCCAGUGUAGCGGUGAAAUGCGUAGAUAUUGGGAGGAACACCAGUGGCGAAGGCGACUUACUGGGCCGUAACUGACGUUGAAGCGCGAAAGCGUGGGGAGCGAACA